AUACGUAGGGGGCGAGCGUUGUCCGGAAUGAUUGGGCGUAAAGGGCGCGUAGGCGGCCCGGUAAGUCUGGAGUGAAAGUCCUGUUUUUAAGAUGGAAAUUGCUUUGGAUACUGUCGGGCUUGAGUGCAGGAGAGGUAAGUGGAAUUCCCAGUGUAGCGGUGAAAUGCGUAGAGAUUGGGAGGAACACCAGUGGCGAAGGCGACUUACUAGACUGUAACUGACGCUGAGGCGCGAAAGUGUGGGGAGCAAACAGGAUUAGAUACCCUGGUAGUCCACACUGUAAACGAUGAAUGCUAGGUGUAGGGGGUAUCGACCCCUUCUGUGCCGCAGUCAACACAAUAAGCAUUCCGCCUGGGGAGUACGGCCGCAAGGUUGAAACUCAAAGGAAUUGACGGGG
rnacentral:rRNA from 1 species